AGAUUUUAUCUAGAGGGUAUUGGCAUCAAACCCUAAUAAAGAGGGACUAAAAGAAUGUGGCAUGCAGUGUUUUUUCCCUUUCAUCUAUUGUUUUUCCCUUGCUUAUUGUAAGUUUUUGCUUUAUAAUAGUUGAAUGGAGUGUAAAAAGCAAAUUUGUUGCAUUUCCUUAGGAAAAAAAAAAAAAAAAGUCGUUUGCAUUCUGUCUUCAAGAUUCAAGGAGCGAUUGUGCAUGCCACUAUCAUUAUAGAAAAUUGUGAAGGUGAUUCUGAAGUAAACUGCAGAAUAAAAGAUUGGUGUUUGUCCAGAUGGAAAUAUCAAAUAUCCCACAAGUAUAAGAGCAUUGAUGCAAUCUUGGCUGUACAGGAACUGCCGGAACUGACCGUGAACCGAUCAGACCGACCGCCGGAGCACGGAACCGGCCGGAACCGCCAAAGAACUGGUCGGCGGUCGAGAGAAAUUGAAGGAAAACCGAUAUCGACGGUUCGGCGUUGGUUUGAACCCCUGGAAAACCGCUGA